rnacentral:rRNA from 1 species
UACAGAGGUCCCAAGCGUUGUUCGGAUUCACUGGGCGUAAAGGGUGCGUAGGUGGUUAGGUAAGUCCGAUGUGAAAUCUCCAGGCUCAACCUGGAAAUGGCAUUGGAUACUAUUUAGCUGGAGGAGUGGAGGGGAGACUGGAAUUCCUGGUGUAGCGGUGGAAUGCGCAGAUAUCAGGAGGAACACCGGUGGCGAAGGCGGGUCUCUGGGCCGAUAUCGACGCUGAGGAGCGAAAGCGUGGGGAGCGAACAGG